UAGGGAAUCUUCCACAAUGGGCGCGAGCCUGAUGGAGCAACACCGCGUGAGUGAAGAAGGGUUUCGGCUCGUAAAGCUCUGUUGUUAAAGAAGAACACGUAUGAGAGUAACUGUUCAUACGUUGACGGUAUUUAACCAGAAAGUCACGGCUAACUACGUGCCAC
rnacentral:rRNA from 1 species